CAUAGUUAAGGAUUAUGUUGUAGUUACUUUUAGCCUAAUCUCCUUCUUGUA
rnacentral:sRNA from 1 species